ACGCCAGGAUGAUAAAAAGCUUAACACCUCUAAUUCUUAUUACUUUUCAAUAUCAAUAUGGAAAAAAAAAAAAUGAAAAGGUCGUCUUAUUCAAAACCCCUUCUCUCCCACUUUUCUAUCUCACUUCACACCUUGGAACGCACCGUUCUUAUAGAGAGAGAGGCGCUUUCACAUCUUCUUAACCCGAAAUGGCAAAUGGCUGGGGAGAGGAAAGGUUCCUUUUUUUAGGGUACCCCCGGGAACAGAUCCAGUGGAGACGGGGUG
rnacentral:rRNA from 1 species